rnacentral:rRNA from 1 species
UCUUUAUUGUUAGAUGCCUGGGUAGUAAAUGAUUGUCUAAACCUAAAGAAUUUGGCGGUACUUCAUUCUUACUAGAGGAACCUGCUCUUGUAUCGAUAUUCCACGAUUAAAUAUACAUAUUUUUGUUUUUCAGUUUGUAUACCGCCGUUGUCAGAUUAUUUUUAAAAAAUAUUAUCUAAUUAGUUUAUUACUAUGACAUCAGGUCAAGGUGCAGUCAAUGAAUUUGGGAGUAGUGGGUUACAAUAAUCUGGAAUUAUUACGGAUUAAUAGUUGUAUAAUUAUUAUGAAGGUGGAUUUAGUAGUAAAAUAAAGAUAAAAUAUUUAUAUGAAAUGAGCUCUGGAGUGUGU